AUGAGAACAAGGAAGCCCUCAGUGAUGCAAACAGUGAGGAUGGUGUUAGUUGCCUGGUGUUUAAUUUCGAAUCUCUUGAGGUUGAGGUUUCCAAAUAUUAUUCAAGUUGCCCUGAUAAGACACCCCAUGAAUUUCAUGAAUCUGGAUUCAGAAACGUCUGAAGUGGAGAGGGGACAGUGGCAUGCAAGGCAUGUUAUAGAACUAUCUCUCUACUAAGAGGAUAAAGAACACUCUGCAAGCAUGGUGCUAAUUGGCAUCUGAUAAUUGGCUUCAGUUUUGGGCAUGUGUGGGGCAUGGUGUGGACUGUGGAAAACUCACAAUGGAACCAUGAGAUGAGAGGCUGUGACACUGGAGGAUAAGGGAACCAGAGGAGGAAGAGGGAAGUUGACUGGAAAGUAGUAUCCCAGACUAUGUCACACACAGCACAACCUCCUUCCCAGCACAGCAGGGAACAGUAGACCCCUUCCAUCUCACGAGUGAGUAUGGCAUUGAAUUGCAUGAAGGAAUGAAGCAGAAUUCAUAAAUGGAUGUCCUGCAGGCUAGACCUAAAACCCAACAUCAUUUAGUACUGCUAAAAUCAUAUUUAAGAAAUUUGAACCCACAUUGCAAAAUGAGAGUACACUCAAAAAUAUGGAUUUCUAGUUUUGCUUGAAAAAUCAGAAAAUCUGACAACGCUGGGAACACCCUCUCACAUGGCAAUGAACAGCUGGAGCUAAAUCCAAGGUUUAAAUCCAAGUUUCUCAUGACUCCAUGCUCAUCUUUAUCACACAAAUCAUACGAGCUGUGAUUGCCUCUUUGCUCACUGAUCUUUCCCACUGGAUUAUGAGGUGAGACUGUUUCUUUUACACCUGUACCCCUCCCACCCUGACUUACACAGUAUAUGCCUCUUAAAAUAUUAGUAAGUGUUUAUUGUGUGAGUAAUGUUGGGAGUCUAGCUAUCCGCUAUUAAUUCUGUUAAAAAAAUAUUUUUUGAAUUCCCACUCUGUACCAGGCACUGAGCUGGGAGCUCUUCACACACCCUCUCAUUCAUGUCAUAAACACAACGGCAUUGGUACAAAGAAGUCAAGGACAUCAAAGGAAAUAAAGUUGACAUUGACGAGACUCCUUCA
rnacentral:lncRNA from 1 species